UUCAUGAGGGUGGAGCAAUCUGGACUUCCCUGCUUUAUGAUGAAGGCUAUGAGUCUCGGAAGGGCUGUUUUGGCUUCCCACUUAUUUUACCUGUGGAGGUCCAUGUUCUGUGUGCUCCCAUUUCCCUUUGAUCGGGAGGGUGUCCUGACUAAUCCAAUGAAGACGUAUUGUGACAUCGUCAGUGUCAAUGCAGAGUAUUCCAAGUCCAGUGUACACAACGCGUUAGUGAUUCCAGAACAGAAGAGGUGGCCUCUGGGAGCAUCUUUCAUACUCCUCAGAUGAGCAUGUUACUGCUCCUCCUAGCACAGACAGCUCCCACACAGCCCAGGCGGAGAAGUCGCUCCCUGGACCUCCUGCACCCUGAAUGGAGCUCAUUGUUCAGCCCCUCAAGACAGCAGCAUCACCUUUCACCGUCUCAACAGUCGGGACCUCUCCUAGGAUGGCCUGACUUGGAUGCCUUACGUGGACACCAACUCGAUCACCUGUGCGUGGGCCUCUGGUUUGGAGCGAAAAACACCAGGAAGCCAGGGAAUCAUCAUGGAGCUAAGUGUGCUGUUUUGUUGAGAAUGAACUCGAAUUCUUUCAGGUGUUGUGCAGAAAAGCGUCUGAGUCCUGAGAAGAAGAAAAUCAGAAAAACGGCAAACAGUCGCAGGUAGAGCCACAGAAUAAUGCUCUUUCAAAGAUAUGUCUGUCUUCAGAACAUAUGAAUAAGUCACAAUACAUCCCAAAAGGACUUUGUAGCUGUGCUUCAGAUCACAGACCUUCCCUGAAAUGGAAAAAAUAUCUCAAAUUAUCCAGGUGGGCCCUAUCG
rnacentral:lncRNA from 1 species